rnacentral:rRNA from 1 species
UGGAUGAUAUGGUUUAAUUCGAUGCAACGCGAAAACCUUACCCACCUUUGACAUGUACGGAAUCCUUUAGAGAUAGAGGAGUGCUCGAAAGAGAGCCGUAACACAGGUGCUGCAUGGCUGUCGUCAGCUCGUGUCGUGAGAUGUUGGGUUAAGUCCCGCAACGAGCGCAACCCUUGUCAUUAGUUGCUACAUUCAGUUGGGCACUCUAAUGAGACUGCCGGUGACAAACCGGAGGAAGGUGGGGAUGACGUCAAGCCCUCAUGGCCCUUAUAGGUGGGGCUACACACGUCAUACAAUGGAUGGUACAAAGGGUCGCCAACCCGCGAGGGGGAGCCAAUCCCAUAAAGCCAUUCGUAGUCCGGAUCGCAGUCUGCAACUCGACUGCGUGAAGUCGGAAUCGCUAGUAAUCGUGGAUCAGAAUGUCACGGUGAAUACGUUCCCGGGUCUU